GUCUUGAGGGUUGUGAGGGGCCUCGCUCCCUGGUCUGGGCAGUCCGUGCGUUCGUGCUGCCCACAAGUGACCAGGGCAGCGCAGUCCUGGGCCGCCCGGGCAGAAGGACUUUCCUCCCUCUCUGGCUACUUCCCUGGCCUCUUCACCUUUCUCCUUAGCCGUUGCAACAGCCUCCCUGGCUCCCUGCUGCCCACGCGUCCCUGUCCCUGCUCUGGCUGGGGAGUUUCCAGCCACUCACUGCUGCCUGGGGGGUGGAGUCCAGCUUCAGGACCGGUCCUGCGACUCCUGAGGGCUCUGCCACCACCACUGCUUCAGGGCAGCCAUGACCUGGGGCUGCUGCCCUCAUCUGCACCCACUGCCUCAGGGCCCCUCUUCUAACCCUCAAGGCAAAUUAACUGCCCCACCGGGGGACCAUUCCUGGGAAUCCUGUCAGCGGGAGAUGUCAGGCAGAGUCCACCCCUGCCACCUGUUCCCCCGAGGGCUGCCCCCGCCGCCCCCCGACGUCCCUUACCACCUGGGAAUGCUCCUUCCUGUGACAAGACGGCCCUCAUCCGCCAUCUGAUUCCCCUCCCAUAGCUGUCACUGCCUCUCCCCAGGCACAACCAAGCCCAAUCUCCGACCCUUCUCGGAGUCUCAAAUGACGUGGGAGCCCCUUGCACACCUACACAGUUAAACAGGCUUUCUCCUGUUUGUGUCUUCUACACCAGCUUAUCCCGUAGUUCAGCCAGAGAAGCCCAGAGGGCAGAGGGAGCCACCUUCCCUGUCCACGCGUCUUCCAGCCUGGCCUCGCCAUGCUCACCCCAACCCACCGUCUGCUGAAAAGCUGCUUCGUGGCUUCUUUUCACCAGAAGGAGUGAAGCACACGAGCCCUUGCCCUACAGCACUACGUUCCUGUCUCCCCGGUGACCUUUCUUCACCCCCGAUUCCAGGCAGGCAGUGGGGCGGAAGCAGAUGCUGUCAGGACUUGCCCAGGUGCCUGCCUGGGGCAGAAAGCUCAGACCUGAGGAGCCGGCCAGUCUCCAGCAGAAAACCGCCCAGAAGUCCAGGUGGCCUGGCGACCCACUCCCGAGUCACCAGAAACUGGGGCCAGCCCACAGCGACUCCUCAAGGAGCUGCCUCCAGCAGAGCCCGGGGCCCAGCCACUCCGGGCAGGGCCUGGGGCCUGGGCUGGGGUGGUGGGAGAGGUCUGUCCAGGGAGGCCGAUGGCAAACCUCACCGUGACGAGAGGAGAGGAGCUUGCAGAUCACUCGCACUGCAGCAUGGAAACACUUAACACUACUGAGUGUGUCUCCAGAUGCCACGGAGCACUGGCACCCGGCUGUAAUCCCAGCACUGUCGAAGGUCGAGCCAGGAGGAGUGCAGGUUUGAGCCCAGCCUGGGCAGUGUAGGGAUUUAGGCCCUGUCUUGAAAUAAAUUAAAAAAUAAAAGCUCUGGGUACAGCUCAGCUAUAGCUCAGUCAGUGUGAGGGUCCUGGGUUCCAUCCCCAGUGCCACACACACAUACACACACGCAUGCACACACAUGCACACACAUGCACCAUAACUGGUCAAGAUGAUAAAUUUUAUGUUAAGUGUAUUUCACAACAAAUCAUGUUUUAAAAAGAAAGAAAACAAUCUAUUCAAGAAAAUGAGCUUGGAUUCUCAUAUUCACCGUUUUCUAGAAGCUGCUGGUGGCGGGGCACAGUGGGUUAUUUUAGCCUUUUCUGGUGCCAGAAUGGAACCCAGGGCCUCGUGCUGAGUGCGCAGUUGCCACGGUCCGACCCCACCUCCUGGGUUAUUUGAAGCAAAUUCUAGACGUGACUUUUCACCCCAAACAUCUCCGGGCACUUUCCAGGGGAGAUGGUUAUGCGUCUUCGAUGAUUACGUGGCUGUGAGCCAGGAGGAGGCUGAGCUUGCAGUGCUGGCCCCGAAUUCAGGGGUCUCUGCUCACCCCUUGCUGGCUCAGGGCCCCUGCCCACUGUCAUCCUUUUCUGAAAGAGCCAGGGAGCUCUCCUGAGGGGCUCCCUCCUAUGUGCAGUCGGUGGCCGAGGCGCCCAGCUUCUCUGCCUCUGUGCCCCAGAGGGCUGCUUCCCCAUGGAAGCCCCAGCCCUGGGCCUUCAGCUUGUGGCCUGGGCCACCCCAGAGCCUCCUGUCCCCUUUCCACCUGUCCCCUUGCAGCCCGACAGCCGAGCCCGGGUGUCACCUUCCCUGCCCUGGGCCCAGGCCCCAGGCCCCAGGCACCCAGUAGGAAAUCAGCUCCCUCUGCCAAGUUUCUGCAGGUGGGGGGCUUCCCCAGGCACCUGCUCCGUGCUGCACCCUUAGCCUGGUGAGUGGAGGUGCCUGACACCGCCAGUGCCUGGCUUCCAGCCCAGGCCUGCAGCCCUGGGCUCAGUCUUCAGUGUCACACUCACGCACACACACGCGUAUGCACGCACACAUGCACACACAAAUGAGCACCCAGGCCUCUUGCCUGGACAUAGCUGCUGAACUGUGCCGAGGCCCCUGAGCACAGCUUCCUUCCAGAGAUACUCUAUGAGCACUGCAAGUAGGCACAUCUCUUCUCUCUACCUGCUUUCGUUUUGGAGAGAGAGCAGCGUACAAUAGGCAGCAUUUCUGUAGCUUGUGUUUGUUCAUUUGUUGUUUGGUUCUUUUGAAACAGGGUCUCACUGUGUAGUUCAGGAUGGCCUUCAAUUCACUACGUACCCCAGGGUGGCCUCCAACUCUUGGUGAUCCUCCUGCCUCACCCUCCCAAGUGCUGGGAUUACAGGAGUGUAAGCACACUCCUGGCUGUCACUUGUUUUUGUUACUUAUUAAAAUAUCUUGGAGAUUGUCAGAACUAUCAUAAGAUCCAGCAAUCCUACUUCUGGGUAUAUAUCCAAAGGAAUUUAACUUAUUAGUAAGUCCAAGAGAUAACUGUAUUCCCAUUUCAACAUUAUUCACAAUAGCUAAGAUCUAAAUGUUCACAAAUGAAGGAAUGGAUAAAGAAAAUGUGUUACAUAUAUAUACACAGUGGAGUACUAGACAGCCUUGAAAAGAAGGGAGUUCCAUCCUGUGCUGCAGCUUGGGUGGGCCUGGAGGGCAUCAUGCUAAGGGAAAUGAGCCAGGCCCCCAAAGAGAAACUGCACACUUUCACUUUUAUGUGGAAUCGAAAACAAACCAUUGGAAGGUAGAAAGAAAGCUUGUUAUCAGAGGCUAGAGAAAGAAAGACAGAUGAGACAGGGGAGAUAUGAUCAAAGGAUACAAAGUUCCAACUACAGACAUAAAUUUAACUUGAUUUUGUGGUACUAGGGAUUGAACUAGGGCCUUGGCACUGAGCUACUAGGAUCCCCAGCCUUUUUCCUGCUUUCCAUUUUGAGAUGGGUUCUCACUAAGUCACUAAAUUGCCCAGACUCUGCUUAAGCUGUUAACCCUCCUGCUUCAGCCUCCCAGAGUGCUGGGAUUACAGGUGUGCACCACCACGCCCGCCCGCGUGGAGGAAUACAUUUCAGUGAUCCACUGCACUUCAUAGUGACCACAGUUUAUCAUAACACAUACUUUUAAAUCGCCAAAAGGGUAGAUUUUUAAUAAUCUCACCCCAAAAAACUGACACGGUUAUGGCUGUGUUAAUUAGCCGGACCGACUCUACAACAUGUGUGCAGGUCAGCACGUCAUGCUGCGCCCCAUAAAUACACAGGAUUAUCGUUUGUCAGUUGACGGUAAAUCUCAGGGGACUGGCGGGUAGAUCAUGGUAUCCUGUGUUUGGAACCUAGCAUCAAACAAGCAAAUUUUUUUAAGUUGAAGGCGGUUAGUACUGAUUCCUAAGGAGGCCCCACGUGCGAGCGUGAGUGAGUGUGUGGUUAUUUCCCCGGGCCCUGGUGGUGGAAAGCGGAGUCAGUCCCACUCUCUUGGCAGCCAGGCCCCUCCACGCCCUGCAGGCGGCUGCCACCGAGCGACCCCCCAGCCGCCAUGUGCGUCUGCACACAGUGCCAGGGAGCACUGCUUCACCCGCGUGUCAGGACCUGAGUGGGAGCGUCGCUCGGGUAGGGGUGCUGGAUCCCCUCAUCCGAGGCUGCGUUGGUCUAUGCUCCCACGAGCCUUGUGCC
rnacentral:lncRNA from 1 species